rnacentral:rRNA from 1 species
CCUACGGGAGGCUGCAGUGAGGAAUAUUGGUCAAUGGGCGCGAGCCUGAACCAGCCAAGUAGCGUGAAGGAUGACUGCCCUACGGGUUGUACACUUCUUUUAUAAGGGAAUAAACUGCGGCACGUGUGCCUUUUUGUAUGUACUUUAUGAAUAAGCAUCGGCUAACUCCGUGCCAGCAGCCGCGGUAAUACGGAGGAUCCGAGCGUUAUCCGGUUUUAUUGGGUUUAAAGGGGGCGUGGUUGGGUGGUUAAGUCAGUGGUGAAAGUUGCGGCUUAAACGUAAAAUUGCAGUUGAUACUGGCAGUCUUGAGUACAGUUGAGGUAGGCGGAAUUCGUGGUGUAGCGGUGAAAUGCUUAGAUAUCACGAAGAACUCCGAUUGCGAAGGCAGCUUACUAAACUGCCACUGACAUUGAUGCUCGAAAGUGUGGGUAUCAAACAGGAUUAGAUACCCUAGUAGUC